GAUGAACGCUGGCGGCGUGCCUAAUACAUGCAAGUCGAGCGAACGGACGAGAAGCUUGCUUCUCUGAUGUUAGCGGCGGACGGGUGAGUAACACGUGGAUAACCUACCUAUAAGACUGGGAUAACUUCGGGAAACCGGAGCUAAUACCGGAUAAUAUUUUGAACCGCAUGGUUCAAAAGUGAAAGACGGUCUUGCUGUCACUUAUAGAUGGAUCCGCGCUGCAUUAGCUAGUUGGUAAGGUAACGGCUUACCAAGGCAACGAUGCAUAGCCGACCUGAGAGGGGGAUCGGCCACCCUGGAACUGAGACACGGUCCAGACUCCUACGGGAGGCAGCAGUAGGGAAUCUUCCGCAAUGGGCGAAAGCCUGACGGAGCAACGCCGCGUGAGUGAUGAAGGUCUUCGGAUCGUAAAACUCUGUUAUUAGGGAAGAACAUAUGUGUAAGUAACUGUGCACAUCUUGACGGUACCUAAUCAGAAAGCCACGGCUAACUACGU
rnacentral:rRNA from 1 species